AGGCUGCGCCAGCAGUAUGCCCACACCGGAGCCAGAGAACGCGGCGGCGGGCGGCGCUUCCUUCACGGCGGGCUUCUUCUUAAGUAUAUAGUGUUUCUCCACCUGGGAUACUGGUACCCACAAGGAUGCUCGCCGUGAUGCUUCUGUGAUGGUGGGGCAGAACCUCCAGGUGGUGAUUGGAUACAUAGGGAAAGCAGUAUCCAAGGGAACUCUAGCCCCAUACAUCAUAGGAGGACCCUGAUAACAGAAUGAAAAUAUCUAUCCCUCUAUCUAUGUAAAAGCAGCAUAAGGCGAUGACUGAUGGAGUGGAUCAGCUGACCGAUGCAGAACUUGUGGUUGUAGGAACUGCAGUCAACUGACCGCAAGUAACAUGGCGCCAAGGAACCAGAGAUUGCGGGUUGGACUGCAGGGUACACACUGCAGGAAUUGGGGUGCACUGUGGACAGCAGCGGGCACCACAGAAGCAGCAGUGGAGUUGCCCACAGGACUUCUGAAGGCUAGCGCACCAGUGUGCUGAUACGGGCAAAAUGACCGAUUCAAUCUAAUCCAACAUACCUGGGGCUAGAUUUGUUGAUCAGAAACUUUGAGGAAGAAAGUUCACCAAUUUAUUUUUGAGCUACGGACUGCAUCAAUACACCCAUUGUCCAUCCAAAACUUGUGGCAGGUCCUGCAAAUGCAUUUCUUAGUUCACUGCACCUACUUCGAUUUGUUUCUGGAGAUGCAGUAUACAUGGCAGUACUUUCCAUACAUGGGGCCUGAUUCACAUGUGGUUGGAAUAGCUAUCACUGCUGCUUACAUGGAAGUAGCAGCGACAUACAGAUAAGGUAAUGCAGUAGGGGAUAUAAGUAGACGCCUCCCGCUUUCAUUAGUGAUCUGUGCUGCAUCGUGAGAUGUAGCAUCAGAUCACCUGCAACACUAUUGGCCAGCAUCAUGACCCUUGUUCCUACAACGAUCCUGGCCUCGGCAUUCCCACAAUGGAGAGGCGACACUCCUCCGUUUUGAGAAAUGAUUGCCGUUGCUGCCCCCGUCCACCCUCAAAUGGCAGCAGACUGUCAGUCAAUGAUGUCUGCAGCUAUAGUGUGUCCAACAGCACCGGACCCGUACUGCACUUGCACAGUAUAGGUCCGGGGUAUGUGCAAAGUACCAAACAUCGGUUUGUGCUGCACCUCCAGCCACAUCUGAAUGAGGCUCAUGAUCUUCAUUUCCUAAGUCUCAGCACAUCUGGAGGCUUUCAUUAGAAACAUUUUUCCAUUGCAACAGAUGAAGAUAAUUUAUCUGCUCCAUACUAUCUACUUGGACUCUACCCACAAUGCAUUAACUUCAUCACAUUCUUGAUCAGAAUUUUGUCUAUUAUCUCUCUCUCUCUCUCUCUCUCUCUCUCUCUCUCUCUUUCUAUAAUAUGCGUUGUCCUUCAUCUCUUCUUUAUAUUUUGUCUCUGUCUUAUUUAAUAAAGGUUUAAAUUAAUUUAA